UGCAGAGGCAGGUGAAGACCGAGGAUGUGGAAGCCGAGGAGAAGGGAGGCUGGGCUGGGGAGAGGAGACAGGGAUUUUUGUUUCUAGCCAGCUGAACUCCACGUGCCCCAAACUACUUAUAUAUGGGAGCUAACUCACAGGCUACCAAGCCUAGGGUGGAGAUGCUUCCUCCUCCAACAUGCAAAGCCCCAAGCACCUAAAGCCUCAGGAGACAAUCAGGCACUGAACAGGAAGACCUAAAGCCAGUGUAUUUUAAUUUUUGCAAAAAUAUUAUUCGGAGAAAGACUUUAUCAGUUUCACCAGACUGUCAAGGAGGGUCCAUGACCCACAAAAGGUUUAAGAACUCUUACUCUAAAAUACAGAAUUUUAAUCUGCAAGAAACCCUCCAGGUCACCCACUCUGAUAUCCUCAUUUUAUAGAAACUGAGGCCCCCCAAAAAAAGGACUUGCCCAAAGGCUAUAUUACAUUUUCAAAUUCAAGGACAUCCAGAGCUGGAUCCAUAUUAGGGAAAUGCUAAAGCCACUCUGAUCCCAUCACAUUCACAGUGCAAAGUGCCUAUGUUGUAUGUUCAGAACCAAGCCUGUGGUGAAAUCCUGCAAUGCGAUACGGGGAAGCACUACCAGAAACACUGUAGCACCAUUACACGUCUGAUUUUGAAUUAAUUUUUGGUCACUGCAUUCAUUUUUACCAACCCCCCUAUGGGGAGGCAACCCACAGUUUAAGGAGACAACUCUUCAAGACUUUAAGUUGCUGAGAAGAUGUCUACGUGCAAGGAAAAAAGGAAAUUCUUCACUGGACAUUCCCUAUGAGGAGGAAAUCAUAGAUCCUUAUCCCCGAUCUCCCUAAAUCUGCCAAAUUCAGAGAGCUCAGCAGUAGCCAGGAGUUCCCUGCCUCCAUGGGGCUCCCUGUUUUCUCAGUUGGAUCUUUGUCUUCUCUCCCAUCAUCUCUCAAGACCAAUCAGGCAGAAACACAUGCCUGAUGGGGUACACACUGCUCCCCUUCCCCACAGAGACCGUCCCUAUCUCUUAGGACCAAUGACCUAACCUCUAUUACUGGAUGUGGGGGCAGCCAAUGGCCAAAGAGAAAGGGAAGAGGGAGGGGGGUCAUCCCAGGGCUCCAUGUUUCCAAUAUAGACGAACGAGCAGUUUGGCAAAGCAGGGCGCUUUCAGCCCUGAGCAGAAUUGUCAGUGGUAAAUAAAUCAUUGAUUUUCCUCGCUGGACUUGCCAAUUUCA